CACUGCCUCCCGCUACUCCAUAUUCGGUGGUUUAGUGAGGCCCUCCGGUCGGCCCCGCCCAGGUAGGCCCAAGGCCCUGGCGGAGCACUGACGAGGCCGCACUUGACUAUCCAGAGGAAGUAAAAGCUGUAACACAGUUUCCGUAGGUGAACUUGGGGAGG
rnacentral:ncRNA from 1 species